UACGAAGGGUGCAAGCGUUACUCGGAAUUACUGGGCGUAAAGCGUGCGUAGGUGGUUUUUAAGUCCGUUGUGAAAGCCCUGGGCUCAACCUGGGAAUGGCAGUGGAUACUGGAAAGCUAGAGUGCGGUAGAGGGUAGUGGAAUUCCUGGUGUAGCGGUGAAAUGCGUAGAUAUCAGGAGGAACACCUGUGGUGUAGACAGCUUACUGGACCAUUCUGACGCUGAGACACGAAAGCGUGGGUAGCAAACAGG
rnacentral:rRNA from 1 species